rnacentral:tRNA from 1 species
GGGGUUGUAGCUCAGUGGUAGAGCGCUUGCCUAGCAUGUGUGAGGCACUGGGUUCAAUUCUCAGCACCUCA